CGUUGCGUUCCUCUAAGUGCGCAGGCGCAAUAGUGGUCCGGCAAUGGAGCGCCGCCUCCUCUGGCCUACUAAGGUCUCCUUUGCUAACGUGAUGGCCGGAGGAGUUCGCCUUCCGUUCCUCUUUCCUUCGCUAGCGAUAUCUCAAGGUGGAGAGCCGACGUGAGAUAGGAGAGUUGUAGACUUCGGUGACGUAGAAGAUGCUGAAUGUAUGAAACAAGAAGAAAACAGGGGGAAAAAAGACUAUUUACAGCAACUCUUUAUAGGUACGCAUUUAUUGAAGAGCAGUGGUCAAAUUCCGCGGGAAGAACCAAGUUUUCCUCCAUUAAUCAAAGUCCAUUGAUCAAAUACACAUCAGGUGGAAAGAUAACACAGUCAACAAUUUUGUCACAAAAAUUGUAAUAAGUGUUCUAAACCUUUUUCAUGCUGAAUUCAAAAAUGAAGUUAAUUUUUUUCUAUCGGGCUUAGUUUUCUGUGACCCUAUUAUUCUGUUCAAUUAGUGACAUCAUGGUGCUUUAUGUUAACUAUAAUAACGUAUAUGUAUCAGUUAUGUUUAGUUUGGAGGAAUCAACCACCCCACCAUCCCAAUUUGUAUUAUUUCUGCCUAACAAACACAACAGGGAUCACCUCUAAAGUAACCACACUAUGAAAUACCCCAUUUUACCAUCUGUUUAAGUAAAGCAGAAAAGGAAAAUCUUAAUUCUGAUCUAACAUUUUAGGUUAUCUGAAAUGAGCCACAUAUGUUGAUGCAAGGAGAUCUGAACAAUCUUGUUCAUGAUUUGAAGCUGUCUUAGAAGCAGGAUGAACUUUUAAGAACAAAAUGAAAUGGAAUCUUCACUGUCAUGAUACUUAAGGG